AGGAGUUUAGGUUAGACUAGACCAAGAGCCUUCAAAGCCCUAAGCAAGUUACACAGACUUAACUCCUG
rnacentral:tRNA from 1 species